rnacentral:rRNA from 1 species
GUGGCGGACGGGUGAGUAACACGUGGGUAACCUGCCCUUAAGUGGGGGAUAACAUUUGGAAACAGAUGCUAAUACCGCAUAGAUCCAAGAACCGCAUGGUUCUUGGCUGAAAGAUGGCGUAAGCUAUCGCUUUUGGAUGGACCCGCGGCGUAUUAGCUAGUUGGUGAGGUAAUGGCUCACCAAGGCGAUGAUACGUAGCCGAACUGAGAGGUUGAUCGGCCACAUUGGGACUGAGACACGGCCCAAACUCCUACGGGAGGCAGCAGUAGGGAAUCUUCCACAAUGGACGCAAGUCUGAUGGAGCAACGCCGCGUGAGUGAAGAAGGCUUUCGGGUCGUAAAACUCUGUUGUUGGAGAAGAAUGGUCGGCGGAGUAACUGUUGCCGGCGUGACGGUAUCCAACCAGAAAGCCACGGCUAACUACGUGCCAGCAGCCGCGGUAAUACGUAGGUGGCAAGCGUUAUCCGGAUUUAUUGGGCGUAAAGCGAGCGCAGGCGGUUUUUUAAGUCUGAUGUGAAAGCCCUCGGCUUAACCGAGGAAGCGCAUCGGAAACUGGGAAACUUGAGUGCAGAAGAGGACAGUGGAACUCCAUGUGUAGCGGUGAAAUGCGUAGAUAUAUGGAAGAACACCAGUGGCGAAGGCGGCUGUCUGGUCUGUAACUGACGCU